GAGAGUUUGAUCCUGGCUCAGGACGAACGCUGGCGGCGUGCUUAAUACAUGCAAGUCGAGCGAGGUUAUUUUACUGCGUUUCUUCGGAAGCAAAGUUUCUUAACCUAGCGGCGGAUGGGUGAGUAACGCGUGGGUAACCUACCCUAAAGUUCGGGAUAACAGUUGGAAACGAUUGCUAAUACCGAAUAUUCUCUUUUUGUGGCAUCACAUUAAGAGGAAAGGUUACGCUUUAGGAUGGACCCGCGUCCCAUUAGCUAGUUGGUAAGGUAAUGGCUUACCAAGGCGACGAUGGGUAGCCGGCCUGAGAGGGUG
rnacentral:rRNA from 1 species